GACGAACGCUGGCGGCGUGCCUAAUACAUGCAAGUAGGACGCAGUUGCGAACGGGUGAGUAAAGCGUAGGUAACUGCCUAUUAGAGGGGGAUAACUAUUGGAAACGAUAGCUAAUACCGCAUACUAGUAGAUGGACCUGCGUUGUAUUAGGUAGUAGGUAGGGUAAUGGCCUACCUAGGCGACGCAACAUAGCCGAGUUGAGAAGUUGAUCCGCCAACCCUGGACUGAGACACGGCCCAGACUCCUUCGGGAGGUAGACGUAGGGAAUCGUUGGCAAUGUGGGGAACCCUGAACGAGCAACGCCGCGUGAGUGAAGAAGGUUUUCGGAUCUGAAAGCUCUGUUGUUAAGGAAGCGGUACCUAACCAGAAAGGGACGGCUAACUACGUGCCAGCAGCCGCGGUAAUUC
rnacentral:rRNA from 1 species